rnacentral:rRNA from 1 species
AGGGUUUGCUCAUGGCUCAGAAUGAACGCUGGCGGCGUGCUUAACACAUGCAAGUCGCACGAGAACUCUUUAGCUUGCUAAAGAUAGUAAAGUGGCGCACGGGUGAGUAACACGUGGGUAAUCUACCUCUGAAUCGGGGAUAACAUUGCGAAAGCGAUGCUAAUACCGGAUAAUAUCUUUUAAGCUUCGGCCUAUCAGAUCAAAGGUGGCCUCUACAUGUAAGCUACUGUUUGGAGAUGAGCCCGCGCACCAUUAGCUUGUUGGUGGGGUAAUGGCCCACCAAGGCUUCGAUGGUUAGCUGGUCUGAAAGGAUGAUCAGCCACACUGGAACUGACACACGGUCCAGACUCCUACGGGAGGCAGCAGUGAGGAAUUUUGCGCAAUGGGGGAAACCCUGACGCAGCAACGCCGCGCGAGUGAUGAAGGCCUUCGGGUCGUAAAGCUCUGUCAAGUGGGAAGAACCUGCUUUAUGUUAAUACCAUAUUGCACUGACGGUACCACUGAAGGAAGCACCGGCUAACUCCGUGCCAGCAGCCGCGGUAAUACGGAGGGUGUAAGCGUUAUUCGGAAUUAUUGGGCGUAAAGAGCGCGUAGGCGGUCUUUUAAGUCAGAUGUGAAAGCCCGAGGCUUAACCUCGGAAGUGCAUUUGAAACUAAGAGACUUGAGUAUGGGAGAGGGAAGUGGAAUUCCUGGUGUAGAGGUGAAAUUCGUAGAUAUCAGGAGGAACACCGGUGGCGAAGGCGACUUCCUGGACCAAUACUGACGCUGAGGCGCGAAGGCGUGGGGAGCAAACAGGAUUAGAUACCCUGAUAGUCCACGCAGUAAACGGUGAACACUAGGUGUAGCGGGUAUUGACCCCUGCUGUGCCGGAGCUAACGCAUUAAGUGUUCGGC